rnacentral:rRNA from 1 species
GUGAGGAAUUUUCCACAAUGGGCGAAAGCCUGAUCCAGCCAUGCCGCGUGUGUGAAGAAGGUCUUCGGAUUGUAAAGCACUUUAAGUUGGGAGGAAGGGCAGUAAGUUAAUACCUUGCUGUUUUGACGUUACCGACAGAAUAAGCACCGGCUAACUUCGUGCCAGCAGCCGCGGUAAUACGAAGGGUGCAAGCGUUAAUCGGAAUUACUGGGCGUAAAGCGCGCGUAGGUGGUUUUGUAAGUUGGAGGUGAAAUCCCCGGGCUCAACCUGGGAACUGCCACAAAAACUGCAUGACUAGAGUACGGUAGAGGGUAGUGGAAUUUCCUGUGUAGCGGUGAAAUGCGUAGAUAUAGGAAGGAACACCAGUGGCGAAGGCGACUACCUGGACUGAUACUGACACUGAGGUGCGAAAGCGUGGGGAGCAAACAGGAUUAGAUACCCGAGUAGUCC